rnacentral:rRNA from 1 species
CUUUCUGCNGGGACNAAACUGACGGUACCUGCANAAGAAGCCCCGGCUAACUACGUGCCAGCAGCCGCGGUGAGACGUAGGGGGCAAGCGUUGUCCGGAUUUAUUGGGCGUAAAGAGCUCGUAGGCGGCUUGGCAAGUCGGAUGUGAAAUCUCCAGGCUUAACCUGGAGUCGCCAUCCGAUACUGCUAUGGCUAGAGUCCGGUAGAGGAUCGUGGAAUUCCUGGUGUAGCGGUGAAAUGCGCAGAUAUCAGGAGGAACACCAACGGCGAAGGCAGCGAUCUGGGCCGGUACUGACGCUGAGGAGCGAAAGCGUGGGGAGCGAACAGGAUUAGAUACCCUGGUAGUCCACGCCCUAAACGUUGGGCACUAGGUGUGGGGCCUAUUUCGACGGGUUCCGUGCCGUAGCUAACGCAUUAAGUG